rnacentral:misc_RNA from 1 species
UCCCCGUUACCGGGGCAGUCUGAAUAGAAAAAUCCAACUAUUCAUAAGGGUUGCGCUCGCUGAUGGACUUAACCAAACAUCUCACGACACGAGCUGACGACGGUCAUGCAAGAUCUGUCACCGAGUUCAAUAAAGCACUCACUCCUUUCGGAGUAAUUCUCGGGAUGUCAAGCCCUGGUAAGGUUCUUCGUUUAUCAUCGAAUUAAAGAACACGCUCCACCGCUUGUGCGGGUCCCCGUCAAUUCCUUUAUGUUUUAGUCUUGCGACCGUACUCCACAGGCGGGAUACUUAACGCGUUAGCUUCGCUACUGAAGGGGUCGAUACCUCCAACAGCUAGUAUCCAUCGUUUACGGCGUGGACUAC